CAUGCACUGAGCAUUACCCAACCACCUGCAUGCACUGAGCAUUACCCAACCACCUGCAUGCACUUAGCAUUACCCAACCACCUGCAUGCACUGAGCAUUACCCAACCACCUGCAUGCACUGAGCAUUACCCAACCACCUGCAUGCACUUCAUUUAUUGAUCAUCUAGGUUUGUGUCUAUUGUACGCUACUUUCUAAUCAUUCAUACAAGUGCAUUUGAUAAAUUAAAUCAAUGUCUUUUUUUAUUUUUUUAAUUGGGGGUUUUAUUUGACUUGCUGCAGGAAGAGUAUCUGCAGGAAGAGUGUCUGCUGCAUGUGCAAUAUGUAAUGGACAUUCAAAUAAACUAAAUCAACUAAAAUAUCCCUUUUGAGUUUGAAACUGUUUGUUGAUGUUCUAGGUGUAGGAUUGUAUCAAUGUAGUUUACAUGGUGCAGUCAUCCAAGCUCUCAGACAAACCAUUGAAACUGUUUGUUGAUGUUCUAGGUGUAGGAUUGUAUAACUGUAGUGUACAUGGUGCAGUCAUCCAAGCUCUCAGACAAACCAUUGAAACUGUUUGUUGAUGUUCUAGGUGUAGGAUUGUAUAAAUGUAGUUUACAUGGUGCAGUCAUCCAAGCUCUCAGACAAACCAUUGAAACUGUUUGUUGAUGUUCUAGGUGUAGGAUUGUAUAAAUGUAGUUUACAUGGUGCAGUCAUCCAAGCUCUCAGACAAACCAUUGAAACUGUUUGUUGAUGUUCUAGGUGUAGGAUUGUAUAACUGUAGUUUACAUGGUGCAGUCAUCCAAGCUCUCAGACAAACCAUUGAAACUGUUUGUUGAUGUUCUAGGUGUAGGAUUGUAUAACUGUAGUUUACAUGGUGCAGUCAUCCAAGCUCUCAGACAAACCAUUGAAACUGUUUGUUGAUGUUCUAGGUGUAGGAUUGUAUAACUGUAGUUUACAUGGUGCAGUCAUCCAAGCUCUCAGACAAACCAUUGAAACUGUUUGUUGAUGUUCUAGGUGUAGGAUUGUAUAACUGUAGUUUACAUGGUGCAGUCAUCCAAGCUCUCAGACAAACCAUUGAAACUGUUUGUUGAUGUUCUAGGUGUAGGAUUGUAUAACUGUAGUUUACAUGGUGCAGUCAUCCAAGCUCUCAGACAAACCAUUGAAACUGUUUGUUGAUGUUCUAGGUGUAGGAUUGUAUAACUGUAGUUUACAUGGUGCAGUCAUCCAAGCUCUCAGACAAACCAUUGAAACUGUUUGUUGAUGUUCUAGGUGUAGGAUUGUAUAAAUGUAGUUUACAUGGUGCAGUCAUCCAAGCUCUCAGACAAACCAUUGAAACUGUUUGUUGAUGUUCUAGGUGUAGGAUUGUAUAACUGUAGUUUACAUGGUGCAGUCAUCCAAGCUCUCAGACAAACCAUUGAACUAAAACGUUGUGCAUGUUGUUUGUUCCUCCCACAAUAUUCUUUACAAUAACAAUUUUCGUCAAUAUUUACAUGUCAUAAUAACCAAAUUAUUCAACAUCAUUAGUAGGAAUAUAUUUUUAAAUACUAGAUAUGUAGGAAGGAUUUGAAUUCGUUGCACACACACUGGGCAUUUUGUCAAGUGUGCAACUGCAGCCUGCAAUUCGAGGGGCAUUAUUUGUGCACACUCCAUGCAUUUUGGGCGUAAAUUACGCAUGUCAAAGGAAUUCUCUGCCUAAUGUAUUGUCAGUAAGCAUAUAUUAUUUUUCCAAGAAUGUAAUGCCAUUUAAUUUAGUCAUCCAAUAUUGCUAAUCCAUUAAUGAGUGCAGGAGGGGAGGAAGAAUACGUGGAGAAUAUACAUGGAACUGACCAAAUGAAGGAAACACUUGAGGGAUACCAAAGUAUAUUGAAAGCAGGUGCUUCCACACAGGUGUGGUUCCUGAGCAAUUAAAACAUCCCAUCAUGCUUAGGGUCACGUAUCAAAUUGCCCAGUUGUGUUAUUUUGGCUACCAAGCUAGAAGACAUCUCUGUGACUUUGAAAGAGGGGUCUCAAAGGAACACUGCAUGUUUAUAAAAACAGAGAAUGUAUGUCACUAGAUCUCAACCCAGUGGAACACUAAUGGGAGGUUCUGGAGCGAUGCCAGAGACGCCGUUUUCCACCACCAUCAACAAAACACCCAUAUGGAAUUUCUGGUGGAAGAAUGGUGUUGCAUCCCUCCAAUAGAGUUCCAGACUGGUAGAAUCUGCCAACACAUUGAAGCUGUUCUGGGGGGGCACGUGGUGGCCCAAUGCCCUAUUAAAAUAAUUGUGGUGUUUCCUUUA